UACAGAGGGUGCGAGCGUUAAUCGGAGUGACUGGGCGUAAAGGGCGCGUAGGCGGUUAGAUUAGUCUGAUGUGAAAGACCUGGGCUUAACCUGGGAUGUGCAUUGGAGACGGUCUAGCUAGAGUUUGAGAGAGGGAAGUGGAAUUUCCGGUGUAGCGGUGAAAUGCGUAGAGAUCGGAAAGAACACUCGUGGCGAAGGCGACUUUCUGGCUCAAAAACUGACGCUGAGGCGCGAAAGCGUGGGGAGCAAACAGG
rnacentral:rRNA from 1 species